rnacentral:rRNA from 1 species
GGUAGUCUACGCCGUAAACGAUGGAUGCUAGCUGUCGGGAGUAUCGACCCUCUCGGUAGCGAAGCUAACGCGUUAAGCAUCCCGCCUGGGGAGUACGGCCGCAAGGCUAAAACUCAAAGGAAUUGACGGGGACCCGCACAAGCGGUGGAGCGUGUGGUUUAAUUCGAGGCUACGCGAAGAACCUUACCAAGGUUUGACAUCCUUGUCGCCGCUCUAAGAAAUUAGAGCUUCAUUUAGUUGGACAAGUGACAGGUGAUGCAUGGCCGUCGUCAGCUCGUGUCGUGAGAUGUCAGGUUAAG